rnacentral:rRNA from 1 species
CCUACGGGAGGCUGCAGUGAGGAAUAUUGGUCAAUGGGCGCGAGCCUGAACCAGCCAAGUAGCGUGAAGGAUGACUGCCCUACGGGUUGUAAACUUCUUUUAUAAAGGAAUAAAGUGAGGCACGUGUGCCUUUUUGUAUGUACUUUAUGAAUAAGGAUCGGCUAACUCCUUGCCAGCAGCCGCGGUAAUACGGAGGAUCCGAUCGUUAUCCGGAUUGAUUGGGUUUAAAGGGAGCGUAGAUGGGUUGUUAAGUCAGUUGUGAAAGUUUGCGGCUCAACCGUAAAAUGGCAAUUGAUACUGGCAUUCUGGAGUACAGUUGAGGUAGGCGGAAUUCGUGGUGUAGCGGUGAAAUGCGUAGAUAUCACGAAGAACUCCGAUUGCGAAGGCAGCUUACUAAACUGCCACUGACAUUGAUGCUCGAAAGUGUGGGUAUCAAACAGGAUUAGAUACCCGAGUAGUC